GGGAAAAGAGGCACGGUAUUGAGAAGCAGACUCAUAAACCAUGCAAACAAACACAGCUGAUACAGACACAAGAGUGAGAGGCCUAAAUGCAAGGUGUAAGUGGACUGUGCAUCAGGGAGAUUGCAUAACGCGGAUUCUCUUCCCUGCUUUAUUCCGCCAACUGUUGCGUAAAAACGCCUUUAUGUGAAUAUAGGGCAUUCGAACACAAUGCGACACGCGUUGCGCAACACCCCUGCGAUCGGAUUUCCCGAAGCUCGCGACCAAUAGCAUCACGGGGUGUGUAGCCUUGACCAAAUGAGUCCAGCACACCAAAUAUAACGCUAAAUCUUUGCGUAAACCUUCGCGUAAACCUUCGCGUAUGGCGAGCGAAACGCGUUAAAUAGUGCGGUUGCGCAGACGUCGGCUGCGUCGUGCUGUACGCGUAGAAUUUGAGACGCGGCCAUUGAGAGUACGAAUAGGUAUUGGGAACAUUCUGACGACAGAACUGUAAACGGAGGAGCUCGAUCGAUCUGGAGAGCCAGCGGAGAAACAAACGACGGGUUUUAGGCGUAAAUAGGAACUUUGGCACGGGAUUCGGUACGGGUCAAGCAGGGCUGAUUGGACAUGUCCGUAAAACACACACACACACACACACACACACACACACACGCAC